GGGCAGGGAUGCAGUGUGGACUUCCAACAACUCCCAGAGCUACCCAAGAUCUUGGAGAUCUUCAGGGAUACCUGACCCUUCCCAGUACCCCUAUGCCCUGACCAGGACUCCGGGAAUCAGCCCCCUCACCCUCCUCCAGUUCUUACUGGAACCCUCUAGCCCUGAGCCUCCAAUCCUGACCAUGUGGUGGUCCCAGUGCCCUUGUUGUGGUCCCAGGAGCAGGGCAGAGCGAAGCACUGCGGAAGAUCGUGAUGGAUGCCUUGCAUUUACUGGAGAAGCAGAAGGACAAGAAGCCUUUCGAGGUGUCCCUGCAAGAAGCCAUCCAAAUGAUUUGGGUGAAGCUGAGCCAGUUGGAGCAAGCUCCUGCCUGCAUCCCCCCCUGCGGGCACCAGCCGGCGGCCCGCAUCUUCCAGUGCUCAACCUGCCGCCUCGUGGACUGCCAGUUCCCUGUAGACUGCCCAGUUCAGGAUGUGUGGGUCCACGAGGAUGAA
rnacentral:lncRNA from 1 species